AUGCAUGGUGCGCUCGUGAAGUACACCAAGCUAGAGAAUCCUGAUGAGCAGGUGAAGAUAUGGGUGUCGUUGGUCAGGGAGCUGUCCUACGAUACGGAGGAUUGUUUUGACAAGUUCAUCCACCAACUCGGCGAUGGGGGGAGUCGUGACGGUGGCUUCAAAGAGUUCUUCCGCAAGACUGCUCGGCGUCUGAAGACGCUUGGAGCUCGCAAUGGGAUCGCCAGCCAAAUCGACGACCUGAAGCUUCGUAUCAAGCAAGUCAAAGAGCUGAAGACUAGCUACAAGCUGGAUGAUGUUGCUUCUAGCACCUCUGGCAAUGCAGCCGUGGAUCCCCGGCUGGCUGCUCUGUUUGCUGAGGAGGCACACCUUGUUGGCAUCGACGGUCCAAGAGACGAUCUUGCCAAGUGGAUGCUGGAAGAAGAGAACAAGCAGCAUCGUCGUGUGUUGUCUAUUGUUGGGUUCGGUGGGUUGGGAAAGUCAACACUAGCGAAUGAAGUCUAUCGCAAGAUUCAAGGGCAUUUUGACUGCCAUGCUUUUGUGUCAGUCUCACAAAAGCCAGAUACAAAGAAAAUCAUCAAGGAUUUGAUUUCGCAGGUGUCUCGCAAGGAUGAAUUCACAAAAGAUAUGGAGAGCUGGGAUGAAAAGAAAUCCAUUGGAAAGCUAAGAGAACUAUUACAAGAUAAAAGGUAUCUUGUAAUCAUUGAUGAUGUAUGGUCUAUAUCAGCAUGGAAAGCAAUCAACUGUGCUUUUCCAGAGAAUAAGUCUUCAAGCAGAAUUAUAACUACAACACGCAUAUUGGAAGUAGCAAGGUCUUGUUGUCCAGAUCGUGAUGACCAGAUCUAUGAAAUGACACCUCUAAGUGAUCUCCACUCUGAAAGGUUAUUUUUUAACAGAAUUUUUGGUUCAGAAGAGCGCUGCCCUGAUAUGCUUGUUGAAGUUUCAAAUACUAUCUUGAAAAAGUGUGGAGGCCUACCAUUGGCAAUUAUCAGUAUAUCUGGUUUACUAGCUAACAGACCAUGUGUCAAAGAAGAGUGGGAGAAGGUGAAAAGAUCAAUUGGUUCUGACUUGAACAAAAGCCAAAGUCUAGAGGGAAUGAAAAACAUACUGUCCUUGAGCUACAAUGAUCUUCCACCAAACCUCAAGACUGUCAUGUUGCACUUAAGUAAUUUCCCUGAGGAUUAUGUGAUUGACAGAGAAAGAUUAGUGAGACAAUGGAUUGCGGAAGGCUUUAUUUCUGAAGAGCGUGGGAGGAGCUAUCAAGAGGUUGCAGAAAGUUAUUUUUACGAGCUUAUCAAUAAAAGCCUGGUCCAACCAGUGGAUAUUCGCUGUGAUGGGAAGGUGCGGGCCUGUCGAGUUCAUGACAUGAUGCUUGAACUUAUCAUUUCAAAAUCAAUUGAAGAAAAUUUCAUCACUGUGGUCAACGGCAGCCAAACUGUGUGGGAAAAUUCUCAGUGUUCUAUUCGACGAUUAUCAAUCCAGGACAUUGACCAGGAGCUUGCAUCUGUAUUGGCAAAGAAAGAUCUAAGCCAUGUCCGAUCUCUUAUAAUAACAGCAUCAAGAUGUAUGAAGCACUUGCCCAGUCUUGCAAAGUUUGAAACUUUACGUGUACUAGAUUUUGAAGGUUGUCAGAGCCUGACGGAGUGUGAUAUGAAAGGUAUGGAAAACCUGUUCCAGCUAAAGUACCUGAGUUUUAGGAGCACAGGCAUAUCGGAGCUACCAUCUGGAACUGUGAUGCUACAUGAUCUAGAGACGCUAGAUUUAAGUUGUACAAAAAUCAAGGAAUUGCCGGCCAGAAUUGUUCAGCUCACUAAACUACAAAAUCUGCUCACUGAAAGUGUACAUCUGUGGCGUGGAAUAGAGAUACCAAUCGGGAUUGGGAACAUAACAAACUUAAGGGAGAUCACAGGCUUUAGCAUUACCAUGAGUUCAGUAGGUGCAGUGAAGGAGCUAGGGAGCCUUAUCAAUUUGAAGGUACUCCAUGUAUGGCUCAGUAGGUGUAGUGAAGAAUCUCAAGAGUACAAGAGUCAUGCAGAGAUGUUUCAUUCCUCACUAUGCAAGCUUGGCAGCUACAAACUCCAGUCCGUGUGGAUAAAUGGUGGUAAUUCAUCUCUAUUCGAGUUAUUAGAUUCCUGGUCUCCUCUUCCAACUCACCUCCAAAGAUUUGGGAUGGGCACCACCGAGUACUGUUUAUCAAAACUGCCAAAGUGGAUUACUCCAGCACUCACCAGUCUUGCAUACCUAGACAUCAAUUUAAGUGUAAUAACAGAGGAGGUUCUUGGUAUACUUGGACAGCUGCCUGCAUUACUUUCUCUGACACUUUCUACCAACACGGUCCAUAAAGACAGGCUUGUUUUGCAAGGCAGAGGAUUCCGAUGUUUGAAGGUGUUCCGUUAUAAACCUUUUGGUGAAGGUGCCGGGACCCUUCUGUUUGAGGAAGGGGCACUGCCGAAGCUCGAGGAGCUUAUGCUGCGGUUCUUUGUGUCAAUGGCAAAGGCCUAUGGGCUCUACUUAGGUCUUGAGCACCUCCCAUAUUUGAAACAUGUGCGAGUUUUUCUUCAGAACCGGGAUGCCACAUCUCCUGAAUUUGAGGCCGCAAAAGUUGCCAUAAGGAAGGAAGCAAAUCUCCAUCCCAACCAUCCCAUGUUAACUCUCAUUUAA
rnacentral:rRNA from 1 species